rnacentral:rRNA from 1 species
AUUGAACGCUGGCGGCAUGCUUUACACAUGCAAGUCGAACGGUAACAGGCCGCAAGGUGCUGACGAGUGGCGAACGGGUGAGUAAUGCAUCGGAACGUGCCCAGUCGUGGGGGAUAACGCAGCGAAAGCUGUGCUAAUACCGCAUACGAUCUAUGGAUGAAAGCGGGGGACCGUAAGGCCUCGCGCGAUUGGAGCGGCCGAUGUCAGAUUAGGUAGUUGGUGGGGUAAAGGCCUACCAAGCCAACGAUCUGUAGCUGGUCUGAGAGGACGACCAGCCACACUGGGACUGAGACACGGCCCAGACUCCUACGGGAGGCAGCAGUGGGGAAUUUUGGACAAUGGGCGCAAGCCUGAUCCAGCAAUGCCGCGUGCAGGAAGAAGGCCUUCGGGUUGUAAACUGCUUUUGUACGGAACGAAACGGUCUGGAUUAAUACCCUGGGCUAAUGACGGUACCGUAAGAAUAAGCACCGGCUAACUACGUGCCAGCCGCCGCCGUAACAC